GACGAACGCUGGCGGCGUGCUUAACACAUGCAAGUCGAACGCUGAAGCUCAGCUUUUGUUGGGUGGAUGAGUGGCGAACGGGUGAGUAACACGUGAGUAACCUGCCCCCUUCUUUGGGAUAACGCCCGGAAACGGGUGCUAAUACUGGAUAUUCACUGGUCUUCGCCUGGGGGUUGGUGGAAAGGGUUUUUCUGGUGGGGGAUGGGCUCGCGGCCUAUCAGCUUGUUGGUGGGGUGAUGGCCUACCAAGGCUUUGACGGGUAGCCGGCCUGAGAGGGUGACCGGGAACAUUGGGACUGAGAUACGGCCCAGACUCCUACGGGAGGCAGCAGUGGGGAAUAUUGCACAAUGGGCGCAAGCCUGAUGCAGCGACGCCGCGUGAGGGAUGGAGGCCGUCGGGUUGUGAACCUCUUUCGCUCAUGGUCAAGCCGCAACAAUGGUUGUGGUGAGGGUAGUGGGUAAAGAAGCGCCGGCUAACUACGUG
rnacentral:rRNA from 1 species